rnacentral:rRNA from 1 species
GAUGAACGCUGGCGGCGUGCCUAAUACAUGCAAGUCGAGCGAACAGAUAAGGAGCUUGCUCCUUUGACGUUAGCGGCGGACGGGUGAGUUACACGUGGAUAACCUACCUAUAAGACUGGGAUAACUUCGGGAAACCGGAGCUAAUACCGGAUAACAUAUUGAACCGCAUGGUUCAAUAGUGAAAGGCGGCUUUGCUGUCACUUAUAGAUGGAUCCGCGCCGUAUUAGCUAGUUGGUAAGGUAACGGCUUACCAAGGCAACGAUACGUAGCCGACCUGAGAGGGUGAUCGGCCACACGGGAACUGAGACACGGUCCAGACUCCUACGGGAGGCAGCAGUAGGGAAUCUUCCGCAAUGGGCGAAAGCCUGACGGAGCAACGCCGCGGGAGUGAUGAAGGUCUUCGGAUCGUAAAACUCUGUUAUCAGGGAAGAACAAAUGUGUAAGUAACUGUGCACAUCUUGACGGUACCUGAUCAGAAAGCCACGGCGAACUACGU